GUAGAGACGGGGUUUCACCAUGUUAGCCAGGAUGGUCUCCAUCUCUUGACCUCGUGAUCCACCCGCCUCGGCCUCUCAAAGUGCUGGGAUUACAGGCGUGAGCCACUGCGCCCGGCCACUGGGACUCUUUCUUGUUAGGUACUUCAGGGAGACUGUGGAGCACACCCGACUUAACCCACCCCCGGGACAAGGAAGCAGGAAGAUCAUCCUCCAACUCCCAUACCACUGGCUGCGGACUGCUGGCAAGGCUUCAGCUCUGUGGCUCUUCUGCUGUGCUCUGCCUGAAGGCCAAGAGGAAGCCCUCAGGGGUGGAGCUGCAGAGGCUCGAGGUGGAGUAGAGCGGGGAUAUAGGCAGUCACUAUUAGCCUUUGGACCUAUGUGCUCCUUCACAGCCACAGGAAGCAGGAAACUGCACUUGCCGCAUCAAGCUUCCUCCCGUGCCAAGGUCUUUCAAGUAAAGGUGCCUCAUCUUAAGAUCCAGAAAAUAAUCAGCUAAGAGCCAGGCACCCUUUUAAGGUCUGAUAAGAAACAUUUUACAACCUGCUCUCUCUCUGAAGUCAACUAUCUGAGAGAUUCCUCUGCACAAUAAAAGUUGGCCUCCACAACUCUUUAUCUUAACCUGAACAUUCCUUUCCACUGAUCCCAGGUCUUCCGAAAAACUCAACAAAUUGUCAACCAGAAAAUGUUUAAAUUUGCCUAUAGCCCAGAAGCCCCUGCUUUGAGUUGUCCCGCCUUUCUGGACCAAACCAAUGCAUUUCUUAAAUGUACUUUAUUGAUGC